AUGAACGCUUGCGGCGUGCCUAAUACAUGCCAGUCGAGCGAACGGACGAGAAGCUUGCUUCUCUGAUGUUAGCGGCGGACGGGUGAGUAACACGUGGAUAACCUACCUAUAAGACUGGGAUAACUUCGGGAAACCGGAGCUAAUACCGGAUAAUAUUUUUAACCGCUUGGUUCAAAAGUGAAAGACGGUCUUGCUGUCACUUAUAGAUGGAUCCGCGCUGCAUUAGCUAGUUGGUAAGGUAACGGCUUACCAAGGCAACGAUGCAUAGCCGACCUGAGAGGGUGAUCGGCCACACUGGAACUGAGACACGGUCCAGACUCCUACGGGAGGCAGCAGUAGGGAAUCUUCCGCAAUGGGCGAAAGCCUGACGGAGCAACGCCGCGUGAGUGAUGAAGGUCUUCGGAUCGUAAAACUCUGUUAUUAGGGAAGAACAUAUGUGUAAGUAACUGUGCACAUCUUGACGGUACCUAAUCAGAAAGCCACGGCUAACUACGUG
rnacentral:rRNA from 1 species